ACCCCAAAGCGGGAAGGUUAGAGAGGCGAUUAGCGGUCCUGCUCCAACUUUCCGACCGGCGGUGGUCCUCCAGCGGAGAGUGAGGCCGGAACAGAGAAUAACAUUUGGUGGAGAUUUAUGAGAACAUCUUUACCUGACCUUGAACUGACCUGACCUCAAGAACAAAGGAUCUGGGACAUCCCUGGUGGUCCAGUGGGUAAGACUCCCCGCUCCCAAUGCAGGGGGCCGGGGUUCGAUCCCUGGUCGGGGAACUAGAUCCCGCAAGCAUGCCGCAACUAAGACCCGGCGCAGACUAAAUAAAUACAUAAUUUUUUUUUUUAAAAAAAGGAUCUAACAUCAAGAAGUUUGCAACAACCACGCCCCCUCCACCUUUCCUAUAAAAGGCCUUUGCUGAAAACUUUAGGGGAGUUUGAGAUUUUUAAGGCAUGAGCCACCAAUCUCCUUGCAUGGCCCUGCAAUAAUCCUUUCUCUGUUCCAAACUCCAACGUUUUGGUAUUGUUUGGCCUCACUGUGCGUCAGGCACAUGGACUUAUGUUCGAUAACAUUAAUAGCCAGAGGAGUGUACUGGAAUUGAGUUUUGUCACUUUGUUGAGUAAUUCACAUCAGCUAAUAAUCAUAGGUCUUUUCUUUUAAAAUGUGCACCAUUAAAAAAAAAAAAAAAAAAAAAAAAGGACCUCCCUGGCGGUCCAGUGGUUAAGACACUGCCCUUCCAAUGCAGGGGGCAUGAGUUCAAUCCCUGUUAGGGGAAGUUCUCCAUGCUGUGCAGCACAGCCAAAAAGAAAAAGAAAAUGUGCACCAUGGUGUUUUGCUUGUAUGUUAUUUGUCUAUUAUGAUUAUUUUUACACACCAUUCCACAACUAAGGGGCCUGGCAUCUUACUAGCUGUGUGACCUCACUUUCAUUCCUUAUGGGUGUAAAAACAGCCAAAUGAGGUAAUAGUAGUUAUUUUGUUAUCUGGACUCUUAUAUUGCUCCAUUUAGGCAAAAGUUAUCUCCCUCUCGCCCUGGACUGCUCACCUUUUCCCACUAUUUCAUAAGCUAUGGUUUCCAUCCAGUGGUGAAUUUUUCAUCAGACUUAACUGCAGGACCCUUCCAAGGCCUUGUACUUGUUUUACAUUCAUGAAUUCAUAUCCUUUCUAUUAGAGAAACCUGCAAAUUGUAUAACUUCAAGCCCACAAAACCUUUGUUUGCCUCUGCUCCUAAUAAGGCCACCCCCACGAGCUUCCCAGACAAGACUUUUUACCUAGUUUCAAAUAUUCUCCUGUCCUGCUGGUCAUUAAUCACGCAACUCCCUUUAGCUCUAAUUACUUUUGUACUGGUUCUGUGGAAUACUUCACAGUGUAUUUUGUGCACAAGAGACUCAAACUAAAGACGGUAAAUAAUAAUAGCUAACUCUUAAUCCUUACAAGAACCUUAUGAGAAAAUUAAGGCCCAGAGAGGUGAAUUGAUUUGCCAAAGAUCACACAGCUAGAAAGUGGAAAUGCUAGGAUUUAUACCUUUGCAAUCCAAUUCCAGAGCCUGUGCUCUGAACCAUUAUGCUUUGUCUCUCACAUGAUGAUGUCCUAGUUGAGAAGAUUUGGGAAACAGACAUCCAUAUACUGUUGGUGGUGGUUAUAUACACUGGCAUGACCUUUUCAGAGCAACCUGGUUAAAAAUAUUUAAAAGAUGCAUUCUCUUUGACUCACAAUUCCACUACUAGAAACUCUGCCUAAAUAAACAUUCAUAAAUGUGUGUAAAUAUUUGGCUAUAACAAUGUUUACCAUAUCGUUGUUUUAAUAGAGGAAAAAGAAACUAGCAACAUAAAUUUGGUUUAGUCAAUUUAAUUGUGAUGCAGUAAUACAACAGAAGAGAUGUAGCCAUUAAAAAUGAUAUAGCAGAAGAAUAUAAUGAGGAAAUUUUCAUGACAUUGAAAGCAGGUAGAGAACAGUUUGUAGAACUUAAAUAUAUAUAUAUAUAUAUAUAUAU